rnacentral:rRNA from 1 species
GACGAACGCUGGCGGCGUGCCUAAUACAUGCAAGUCGAACGCACAGUUUAUACCGUGGCUUGCUACACCAUAGACUGUGAGUUGCGAACGGGUGAGUAACGCGUAGGUAACCUGCCUGGUAGCGGGGGAUAACUAUUGGAAACGAUAGCUAAUACCGCAUAAUAUUAAUUAUUGCAUGAUAAUUAAUUGAAAGGUGCAAUUGCACAGCUACCAGCUGGACCUGUGUUGUAUUAGCUAGUAGGUGAGGUAACGGCUCACAUAGGCGACGGUACAUAGCCGACCUGGGAGGGGGAUCUGCCACACUGGGACUGAGACACGGCCCAAGCUCCUACGGGGAGCAGCAGUAGGGAAUCUUCGGCAAUUGAGGAAAGUCUGACCGGGCAACGCCGCGUGAGUGAAGAAGGUUUUCGGAUCGUAAAGCUCUGUUGUAAGAGAAGAACGGGUGUGAGAGUGGAAAGUUCACACUGUGACGGUAUCUUACCAGAAAGGGACGGCUAACUACGUG